CCUACGGGUGGCAGCAGUGAGGAAUAUUGGUCAAUGGGCGAGAGCCUGAACCAGCCAAGUCGCGUGAGGGAGUACUGCCCUAAGGGUUGUAAACCUCUUUUGUCGGGGAGCAAAAGCCGGACGUGUCCGGCUGUGAGAGUACCCGAAGAAAAAGCAUCGGCUAACUCCGUGCCAGCAGCCGCGGUAAUACGAGGGAUGCGAGCGUUAUCCGGAUUUAUUGGGUUUAAAGGGUGCGCAGGCGGAUUUUUAAGUCAGCGGUAAAAUCGUGGGGCUCAACCCCAUCCAGCCGUUGAAACUGGGGAUCUAGAGUGUGCGAGAGGUAUGCGGAAUGCGUGGUGUAGCGGUGAAAUGCAUAGAUAUCACGCAGAACCCCGAUUGCGAAGGCAGCAUACCGGUGCACAACUGACGCUCAGGCACGAAAGCGUGGGUAUCGAACAGGAUUAGAUACCCCUGUAGUC
rnacentral:rRNA from 1 species